AAUUUUGGACAAUGGGGGCAACCCUGAUCCAGCCAUCCCGCGUGUGCGAUGAAGGCCUUCGGGUUGUAAAGCACUUUUGGCAGGGAAGAAAAGCCGCGGGUUAAUACCCUUCGUUCCUGACGGUACCUGCAGAAUAAGCACCGGCUAACUACGUUCCAGCAGCCGCGGUAAUGCGUAGGGUGCAAGCGUUAAUCGGAAUUACUGGGCGUAAAGCGUGCGCAGGCGGUUCGGCAAGAAGGUUGUGAAAUCCCGGGGCUUAACCUCGGAACUGCAUUCUUAACUGCCGGGCUAGAGUAUGUCAGAGGGGGGUAGAAUUCCGCGUGUAGCAGUGAAAUGCGUAGAGAUGCGGAGGAAUACCGAUGGCGAAGGCAGCCCCCUGGGAUAAUACUGACGCUCAUGCACGAGAGCGUGGGGAGCAAAC
rnacentral:rRNA from 1 species